UUUUGGCGGCUAUGCAGGAUUGGCAGGAGCUGCGAUGCUCACACUUGCCUCGCCGACCGCCAUUUCACAUCCAGCAGAGGAGGCGGGGGCAGCCGCUGAGACGGUUUUUCACAAGGAAAUGACCUCAUUCUUGAUGGCUGCUGCUAACUUAUGGUGAGAUGCUGGGUCCCUGCCCAAUACCACAUGGACAUCCAAUCAAUUUACCCAGGGACAAGUCCACUCAAGAGCAUCAUUUAGAAGAGGGAAAAGGCACUGGGGUUAUUUGUUUUUGGAGUAUGUGCUUAAGGAAAUCUAGAGUAUUCCCACGAGCAUUCUGCUGAGAUGAACAAUCAGAUGACCUCGUGUGAGAUUUGGAGGAGAGAAGGAAAUGGAGAGCAUGCGUCUGCCGCUUCUGUGGUUUCUGUCGGACAGAUUCCUAUAAGUGAAACUGCUGGGCCAAAGAGGAAGCACAUAUAAAACUGUGAUAGUGAAAUUGCCUUCUGGGAGAUUGCACCAAUUUACACUCCUAUCAAGAGUGAUUGGGAAUAUUCAUUUCUCUCUAACUCCACUAACACUGGAUGUUGUCCAAAGUUUUUAUUUUUGCACAACUAAUCAAGGAAAAGGCUUUCUCCAUAUUUACGUGCUUGUAACUCUGGCAUGACCUUUGCUCCAGUCUCUACCAGAGGGCGGUGCCUGGAUUGAAGUGGAAAAGCCCUGUUUUCCAGCCAUGACCCAGGGAGCAAGCACUGACUCCUCAGGGGAACAGGAGACCUGCCAACUAGGACCCUGGGAGCCCCCAUGCUGGCAGUGCCCUGGGUCAUCUCAGGCUCAUCAGCAAAUCCUGGGGGGAGAGCGGGGCUGGAGGGCGAAGAAGCCCAGGAGAGUUCCUGGCUCAGAACCCCUCUCUGAGGCUCCCAAUACAGAGCCCAGGCCCCACACCCAGGGCCUCUGAGUAUUUUUGUUUAUUGUAUGUAAAAUACUAGUGUAUUUUUGUUUAAGUCUCACAGGUAAACAGGUUCUCUCAUACUUUGCCAAGGGAAAUGUGAUCUGUGCAAUUUGGCAAUAACUAUCAGAAUUUUAAAAGCUUAUGCCCUUUGACCUAGUAAUUUCACUUCUAAGAAUUUCCCCUGCAGAGAUAUGUAUAUCUUGUAUGAAAUGAAGAGGCUACGAAGACAGGCAACGCCGCAGUGUUUAUAAUAGCGAAGACCAGACACAACCCACAUGUCUAAAGGUUCUGAUUUUUAAAACUGUAGUAUAUCUGUACAAUGAGCACUCCACAUCCUUUAAGAAUGAGGAAGGGCUGUGUGAACUGAAAUGGAACUAUCUCUAAGAUUUAUUAAGUUAAAAAAAUUCAAGAGUAGCACAGUGUGUAGGGUAUGCCAUCAUUUGUAUGAUAUAAGGUCGUAUAUCUGCCAUCUCAAAUGAGGAACAGUGGUUGCCUCUGGGAAGGGAAUUGGAUGGCUAGGAAUGGGGUAGGAAAGAGGUUUGCUUUUCAGAACAUUUUAUACUAUUUAAGUUUUGUAACAAGUGCAUCUAUUUUGACUUAAAAGAUAAAAAAUGAAAAGGAAAGGCUCCACUAGUGAUUCUGAUGCUCACAAAGAUUAAGAACCAAUGCGAAUGAGGAACUCAUGACACCGCCCAGGAGACAGUGAACAUAUCUCUUCAAAUAUCAAAAACCUUUCAGCAGAGGGUGAGAACAUGUGCCUGGGGUAAGCAUGGGUGGGCAUGAGCUGGGUACAGAGGUGAUUCCCAGGGACAUACAACUACCUUGCCCUCCUGGGAUCAGGUCUUCCUCCCACCUUAGCCUCCCAUAUUGUUGGGACCACAGGCAUGCACCACCACACCUGGUUAAUUUUUUUUUUUUUUUUUUUUUUGUAGCGACAGAGUCUCGCCAUGUUGCCUAGGCUGGUCUCGAACUCCUGGGCUCAGGCAAUCCUUCUGCCUCGUCCUUCCAAAGUGCUGAGAUUACAGGCAUGAGCCACUGCACCCAGCCUGACAGUAGCUUUUAAUCUCUGGACUCUCAUCACCGUUUGGACUGUGAGCUGUGGUUCUAGCUCUUGGAUCUGAUGGGCAUCUUCCCUCAAAUAUGUCAGUUUCUCUCUCCAGGUCCCUUGCUUUGUCUUCCUUUUUGCCUCCUCGGGCCUGAUACCUUUCUCUGGGCUUCUCUACUCUGCCCCGAGCUGCCUAGUUUUGCGAAUAAUGUCACAUCCAGAUGUCAGCAGCCCUGAUGUCCAUGUGACAAUGCUCCCUUGCUGUCCAUGUGACAAUGCUCCCUUGGUGUCCCAGUGACAGAUUUUCCCAUGCUUCACCCUCUCUCUUUUUUAAUUUUUUUUUCUGUACACAGCUCUCAGUCAAGCCCCUUGAGCUGCCUCCAACUGUUUGCUCAUGUCUGUUCCCAGCAAUCUUUUCCUCUUUUAGCACAAUCUUCCUUAACUUACUAGUUUUUUGAAACAGAGCCUAUUAGUCUUCACAGCGCUACCUUUCUGAUCUCAGAGUUCACCAAAAAGCUUUUCCUCCCAUCAUGCCUGCCUCCCUUUCUUCAGGUCCGUUAGAGUCCACCGUGGCCUGUGUGGGAAGCAAGUCUCUCCCAGGGCACACAUGAACAGACUUCAUGCCCACAUCCACAGUGAACAGUGGCUUCUGCCUUCCAGAUGGGCUUACCCUAAAUCAACACAUAUUCCUAGGAUGUGGGAACAUAUGCAAUACUUAAAUGCACAGGCUCUGGGUUCAGACUCCCUAGGGUUAAAUUCUCCCUGUGCCGGCUAGCUGCAUGAUUAGAUUUGUGAUCUUGACAAAGUUACCUAACGUCUCUGGGCCUCACUUUUCUCAUCUGCAAAAUAGGGAAAAUAGCAACACUUCUCCAUAGGGGUGUGGUGAGGAUAAAGAGUAGAUGUAAAUAAAGUGUUGAAUGUAGAGCCUGGCACAUAUCAAGCUCUUAAAAAGCAAUGGCCAUUUUGUUAUUUUUACCGCAACGACAACUGCAGUUAUUAUCUGGCUUCAGAGCUCUCUUUUUAAAAACAGUAUUCCCUGGUUUUACACCCAGGUGCUAAUACUAUUCUAUGAAGCUAAUGUAUAGAGACCAUAUCUUUUUAACAAACGUGUAUAUAUGAGUCAUUUCCGGCACAUUUGAUACACAUCAUCUCGUUUGGUCCUUAAAACAAGCCUAGGCCAUAAGCAGGGUACGUGUUACCACUUUGCCAUUCCUGUUUUACAGAGGCUUAGACACAUUGAGAAGCUUUUCCAUAGUCACUUAACAAGUGAUGGGUGAAGCCAAAUCAAGCCUUUAGAUCUCCAAGCUCUUUCCAUUAAACCAUAUAAAUCACGGGUUGGCAAACUUUUUCUGCAAAGGGGACAGAUAGUAAAUAGUUUAAGCCUUAUGGGCCACAUGCUGUGUCUGUUUCAUAUUCUGCUCCUUUUUUAUUUUUAUUUUUUUUAAGAAAAGACACCCUUUAAACAUAUAAAAACCAUUCUGAGCAACAGGCUGGUGCUAAAAACAGGUCAUGGUAACCAUUGGCUCUAGGGUUGUAGUUUACUGUUGAUAUAGAUUGUACACUGAUAAGCCAAAAUACAAACCUAAUGAAACUGACAUACUUAAGGAACUUUACUCUUUGUUAGCAAUCAUUGUUAAUAUUUAUUGAAUGGUGACUACGUGGGAAAUGCUGUUCCAAGUGUGAUAGAUAUAUUAACUUACUUAAUCCUCACACCCACUCUAAUUUCCUAAGUACUAUUGUCAGACUCAUUUUACAGACAGGAAAAGCAAGGCAUAGAGAAGGUAAGUAACUUUUCCGAGGUCACAUGGCUAUUAAGUAGCAGAGCUGUGAUUCAAAUAUAAGCGGUUUGGCACCAGAUCCUGUGCACUUAACCGCUUGCAUCUCGGUUGGGAGCACUGACUGGUUCAGCUAUUGGGAGGGAAGAAAGGGGAUGGGGAAGCCACAUAACCCCUAGGAGAUUCUGUAAUAAAUAUGCUUCAGAGCCAUUCACCUUGAAGCUGAGGAGGCAUGGAAGCAGGCCACCUGUGUUCUGUACAGCAUCACCAGGCUGGAAAUCUGCCAUGGCUUUCCUUCACGCCAUCACAAGAGGAUACAGAUGAGGCUGCAGAGGCAUCUUGAUUUGAGAAAAGCAUUUGACUGGAUCUCAUUAAAUUUUAAUCAUUAACUGAAUUCAAAAUAAAUUGAAAACUGGUUGACAGAGCACCAACAAAGGGUGAUGAUAAAUGGUGAUGCAUCUAGAGGGGAGCUAUCUUCCAGGGGACAACUCUAAGGCAAGGACGGAUGGGAUUUAAUGAAGGUGUUAUGUCCCCAGAAGAAGACAAAUAGCACAGCAAGGAACAGAGGAAGGACAGGAGUGAGCAGCCUGAGUAAUUAAUAAACCAUAUUAACAGCUCCUCCAUAAUCAGGCCUUGGUGAUCACAACUGCUUGGAUUUUUUCUUAAGCUUUCUUUGAGUCAGGAAUAGGUUUGAAGCGUCCUAGAGACACACAGCAUGAAUAUUUCAGGUGGACAUUAAAAAGAAAUCUAUAAAUUUACAGCUGGGAGGAUCCUGAGAUCUACUUCGGAUCAGAAACUUUCAAUUACAAGAUUCCCAAGGCCUUACUUCAUUCCCCAGAGAGUAAUCUUUUUAAUAAAUGUCCAAAAGUCAUGGAUUUAAAAAAAAAUCUUUAAACUCAUUAAUGUCCUUUGUUUCCUGCCCAAAUGCAUGCAAACUUUCAUAACACUGGUUUGCUGAGUGGAAGGUUGGUUUUGAGUGAACUGUUUGGCUCAGAUUCAAACUCCAAUGAACAAAUACUUCCAAGUUUACUUGCUGAAUUUCCCAUACAGAGAAGUUCUUCCACUGGGCUUGCCAGAGGAUUUGAAACAGUGGUGAGCCCUGGAAGGAAGGGAAUAUUUACUGGCCCUUGGACAUAAACCCAGCACAGUAAGACUCACAUCAGGCUGAAGGCAGUGCAGUAUGAACCGACCUGAUUUGAGGAAGUUUGCUCUGGGACUCCUCUGAGCUACUAAAUGAGGAGGAGAAGGACUAAUGGGAACACACUGACUCCAUCACAUUAGAAGUUAUAAUAAACAUUUAGAGAACAACCUCAA
rnacentral:lncRNA from 1 species